ACUCGGGUUGCACUGGACGAGGCUGCUGUGAUCUGACCCAUGGGUAUCAGCUGUAGUGUUUGGGGUCGUUAAGUCUUAAGACUCAAGUCAGAGUUCCGUGACAGAUACACCAUUUGUGCGUGUAGGUGGACUAUGUACAGCGGCACUAAAGAAAGUACUCCGUAGGAUUGUAGUUCCUGACUAGAGAAGAGAGGAGCGGGACCUGGUUUUGAAGCGCCCGCCGCUCUGUGGGUCCACAGACUAGCUAGUGGAAAGCGCAAAUCUCAGGUUGAACAAGGAGGAAACGAGCUGGAAUCACAGAGGAGACCCCUGAAUGACCUUAGGGAUCUGGACUUCCGGGCUGGUGACUGGCCUCCACCUUUGACGUCUCCGUGGCGUCUACUAGAGACGACAUUCGAGGCGGCUGCCGGCGUGAGACUGUCUCCCACUUUUCCCCCGUUUGUGGCUGCUGUUGGUAAGCCGUUCCCUCACCUUGUUUUCUCACAUAUCCUCACUUCUGUGUCCAACCCACAGUAGUCGCUCCCAAUGCACUUCCUGGAAAGAGAAAAAUGAGGAGCCUAAAGGAGGUUCAGCUGGUGAAGGUGCUUGGUGUCCAAGCUUGAACGCCCGAGUUUGAUCCCUGGAUCCCAUGUAA
ensembl:processed_transcript Gm35025 predicted gene, 35025